rnacentral:tRNA from 34 species
CGGGAUAUAGCGCAGCUUGGUAGCGCGCCUGCUUUGGGAGCAGGAUGUCGCAGGUUCAAAUCCUGCUAUCCCGA